GAUUUCAACUGAAAAAGUCAUCAAUAACAAAGUCGUAUAACUCAUCAAGGUCUAUAACUUAUAUUUUGGUUAUUUCUUCGUCCGACGAAGUAAUUUGUAACAUUAUUCACAAAAUGUACAAAAAUCUCUUGUAUGAACUAUAAGAGAGAUGUAAAUUUUGUGAAAAAUAUUACUAUCACUUUGUCGGAUGAAGAAAUGACCAAAAUAGAAGUUAUAGAUCUUGAUGAGUUAUACAACUUUGUUGUUAAUGACUUUGUCAGCUGAAGUC
rnacentral:pre_miRNA from 1 species